rnacentral:rRNA from 1 species
UACAGAGGGUGCAAGCGUUGUUCGGAAUUAUUGGGCGUAAAGCGCGUGUAGGCGGCUUUGCAAGUCGGAUGUGAAAGCCCUCGGCUCAACCGAGGAAGUGCGUUCGAAACUGCAGAGCUUGAGUGCCGGAGAGGGUGGCGGAAGUUCCCCAAGUAGAGGUGAAAUUCGUAGAUAUGGGGAGGAACACCAGGUGGCGAAAGGC